AUCACAUUGUGGAUGUUGACUUCCCUCGCGCAGAUCUUCAUGCUCGUAAGAUUAUAUAACCUUGAUCGAUAGGUCUGGGUAAUCUUUUGAAUGCGCAUCAUGAUAGGGAUAGACUGUUGCAAUUUUCAGUCUUGAACGAGGAAUUCCUAGUAACGCAAGUCAUCAGCUUGCAUUGAUUACGUCCCU
rfam:Hyaloperonospora arabidopsidis Emoy2 Contig49.5, whole genome shotgun sequence.